GCAAAGGUGGUUCAGUGAUAGAAUUCUCGUCUUCCAUGUGGGAGGCCCAGGUUUGAUUCCUGGCCAAUGCA
rnacentral:tRNA from 1 species